rnacentral:lncRNA from 1 species
AGGGGUUCUCAAGGUGAUAAUUGAUGAAAUUUUCCAUCUAAAUGAGUUUCAAGUUUACUUGUCACAUGGACUAGAAAAGGAGAAUCCAGACAGCUCUUUCGAUCUUUGGAAUGGUGGAAGUCAAGGGAAAAGCAUUUUCCCGUUCUUGCAAGGAUGGCUUGGGGUUAUUCUGUCAAUUCAAGCGUCAACUAUUGCAUCGGAGAGCGCUUUCAGUCAAGCAAGACUACAAA